UACGGAAGGUGCGAGCGUUGUCCGGAAUCAUUGGGCGUAAAGGGCGCGUAGGUGGCCCGGUCAGUUCGUGGUGAAAGCGCGGGGCUCAACCCUGCGUCGGCCAUGAAUACUGCCGCGGCUGGAGCACUGUAGAGGCAGGCGGAAUUCCGGGUGUAGCGGUGGAAUGCGUAGAGAUCCGGAAGAACACCGGUGGCGAAGGCGGCCUGCUGGGCAGUUGCUGACACUGAGGCGCGACAGCGUGGGGAGCAAACAGG
rnacentral:rRNA from 1 species